UUUCAAACCGAAAGCAGGAAGUGAAAAUAGAGUGAGCACAUCUGAAGUUUAGUAACAUAUCGGAUUUCACUGUGCAUAAAGUAGGAUACGCCAUCCAAUACGAUGAUGGGUGGCCGAAGAUUGUUAGGAUCUCUGGUCAUAGGCCUCCUGAUUAUGGCUUGUUGCCCAAUUUUGACAACCUCUUCAAACUCUACAACCACAGAGGCAGGAACCAUAACAGAACCAUCAACAACAACAGCAUCAACAAAAGCAGCAACAACAUUAGCAGCAACAACA